rnacentral:lncRNA from 1 species
AAGUAUUUUGAAAGUAUGUUUUAGGAAAUAGCUCAUACAAUUAGAAUAACAUAGCCACAAACAUUAAAGUUAGAAAGGCUGGAGGUUGCAGUGAGGCCAGAUCGUGCCACUGCACUCCAGCCUGGGUGACAGAGCAGAGACUCUGUCUCAAAAAAAAAAAAAUAAAAUAAAGAGAGGCAAGAUGUUAGACCAGGCUGACAGUUGUUCAGCUAGCUCCUUUACCCUUUUCCCUGGUCCCCUUGAAUGGGUAGCUUAGUUAACAUCUGAAGACUUAAUUAGAAUAUUACAACAGACAAGUCUGAAGUUACCUAAAUGAAAUAAAUGAGCUACUUUCGGGGUAGGAUAGUGGGGGAACCACUGUCCUUAAAUGGAUGUCCUUAAGGGAGAAAAUAUCUAGCUCUUAAUUUUAGUCUCUUAGCAGACAGAUAUCCUAGGGAGGUUUUACUACUGUCUGGCAUGUCACUGUCUUGUAAGUCUAACAAAUGAGGAUGUGAGCUCAUGCCCUAGGCAGUGAGACUAAAGGCUGAUGAAAGGGAAUGAUGA